rnacentral:rRNA from 1 species
UACGGAGGGUGCAAGCGUUAAUCGGAAUUACUGGGCGUAAAGCGCGCGUAGGUGGUUUGAUAAGCGAGAUGUGAAAGCCCCGGCUUAACCUGGGAACGGCAUUUCGAACUGUCAGGCUAGAGUAUGGUAGAGGAGUGUGGAAUUUCCUGUGUAGCGGUGAAAUGCGUAGAUAUAGGAAGGAACACCAGUGGCGAAGGCGGCACUCUGGACCAAUACUGACACUGAGGUGCGGAAAGCGUGGGGAGCAACAGGAUUAGAUACCCCGUACGUCC